GGACUGCCAGGGCUUUGUGAUGCGCUCUCAAAGAGUCGAGUUGUUUGGGAAUGCAGCUCAAAAUGGGUGGUAAAUUCCAUCUAAAGCUAAAUAUUGGCGAGAGACCGAUAGCGAACAAGUACCGUGAGGGAAAGAUGAAAAGAACUUUGGAAAGAGAGUUAAACAGUACGUGAAAUUGCUGAAAGGGAAACGCUUGAAGUCAGUCGCGUCGUCCAGGGAUCAACCUUGCUUUUGCUUGGUGCACUUUCUGGUUCGAUGGGUCAGCAUCAAUUUUGACUGUUGGAAAAAGGUUGAGGGAAUGUGGCAUCUUUGGAUGUGUUUAUAGCCCUUGGUCACAUACAAUGGUUGGGAUUGAGGAACUCAGCACGCCGCAAGGCCGGGUUUUAAACCACGUACGUGCUUAGGAUGCUGGCAAUAUGGCUUUAAUCGACCCGUCUUGAAACACGGACCAAGGAGUCUAACAUGCCUGCGAGUGUUUGGGUGGAAAACCCGAGCGCGUAAUGAAAGUGAAAAGUUGAGAUCCCUGUCGUGGGGAGCAUCGACGCCCGGACCAGACCUUUUGUGACGGUUCCGCGGUAGAGCAUGUAUGUUGGGACCCGAAAGAUGGUGAACUAUGCCUGAAUAGGGUGAAUCCAGAGGAAACUCUGGUGGAGGCUCGUAGCGAUUCUGACGUGCAAAUCGAUCGUCAAAUUUGGGUAUAGGGGCGAAAGA
rnacentral:rRNA from 1 species